rnacentral:rRNA from 1 species
AUGGCGGACGCCAGGGACACGACCGCCACCAGCACCGACCACCACCACCACCAAACUAGCCGCGGCGCAGCGGCACCGCCAGCGGCGAAAGGCGGCGCGACCAUAUCCAUCACCAUCGUCCUCCUCGCGCUGCUCGUGGCCUCUGUCGCGGCGUUCCAGAUGUCGUCGCCAUCGCCCCGGAUGGAGGCACCGGGCGUGGGGGAUGGCAGCCGCCCCGGCGCCGAGCCGGUGGAGCAGGCCGUCGGCCAUGGCGGCGUCCCCGGGUUCAACAGCCGGCUGGACGCGUUCCGCGCGUGGGCCAAACUGACGUGGAUGAAGCUUCAGCGGCCGCGCUCCGAUGAUCCACGGUAUGAUGCUGGUGGAAAUGGAAUCGCCGGCUCGGCAGCGGAGGCGACGAAGAAGAGCCUGGAGAUGGGCAAAGAGACGGCGGAGCAGGCGGCGGCGAGCGCCGCGGGGCUGGCCAGGGACACGGUGAAGGGAGUGGCCGCGCCCAACUCCGGUGCAGAGCUGUGA